rnacentral:rRNA from 1 species
AUUGAACGCUGGCGGCAUGCCUUACACAUGCAAGUCGAACGGCAGCACGGGUGCUUGCACCUGGUGGCGAGUGGCGAACGGGUGAGUAAUACAUCGGAACGUACCUUAUCGUGGGGAUAACGCAGCGAAAGCUGUGCUAAUACCGCAUACGCCCUGAGGGGGAAAGCGGGGGAUCGAAAGACCUCGCGCGAUUAGAGCGGCCGAUGCCUGAUUAGCUUGUUGGUGGGGUAAAAGCCCACCAAGGCGACGAUCAGUAGCUGGUCUGAGAGGACGAUCAGCCACACUGGGACUGAGACACGGCCCAGACUCCUACGGGAGGCAGCAGUGGGGAAUUUUGGACAAUGGGGGCGAACCCUGAUCCAGCAAUGCCGCGUGAGUGAAGAAGGCCU